GACGUAGGGGGCAAGCGUUGUUCGGAAUUAUUGGGCGUAAAGCGCUCGUAGGCGGGAUCGAAAGUCCGUGUUGAAAGACCUCGGCUCAACUGAGGGACCGGCUCGGAUACUUCGAUUCUUGAGGCAAUCAGAGGGUGAUGGAAGUUCCCGGUGUAAGCGGUGAAAUGCGUAGAGAAUCCGGAGGAACACCGACGGCGAAGGCAGCCUUCUGGAAAGUAACCUGACG
rnacentral:rRNA from 1 species